CAGUCGCCGCGGUAAUACGAAGGGUGCAAGCGUUACUCGGAAUUACUGGGCGUAAAGCGUGCGUAGGUGGUGGUUUAAGUCCGUUGUGAAAGCCCUGGGCUCAACCUGGGAAUUGCAGUGGAUACUGGGUCACUAGAGUGUGGUAGAGGAUAGUGGAAUUUCCGGUGUGCAGUGAAAUGCGUAGAGAUCGGAAGGAACAUCUGUGGCGAAGGCGACUAUCUGGGCCAACACUGACACUGAGGCACGAAAGCGUGGGGAGCAAACAGGAUUAGAUACCUCAGUAGUCCCUGUCUCUUAUACA
rnacentral:rRNA from 1 species